AGCUGAAGUUGGAUGCUUACCCUACUGAGCCACCCAGGCGCCCCUGCCAUGCUCCUUUUAAAGUCUCUGGGGGAGAAUCCACUCCUGACCUCUCCCAGCUUCUCAUGGCUGGCAGUGCUCCUUGCCUUGUGGCCGUCACUCCAACCCCUGCUUCUAGCUUCACAUCACCACCUUCCCUUCUGUCUAUGUCCGGUCUCUGCCUGCCCCUCUUUUAUGACAGCAUAUAGGACUUACGAUGACAUAUGCAACCACCCAGGUAAUCCAGGACACUUUCCUCAUCUCAAGAUCCUUAACUUAAUCACAUCUGCAAAGAACAUUUUUCCUUAUAAGGUGACAUUCAUAUGUUCUAGGUUUAGGACAGGAUGUCUUUGGGCGGCCAUGAUUCAGCUCACUACAAUCUAACUGCGUUAGGUUAUGAAUACUUUGCCAAGAGAAGGGUUACAAAUAUUCAAUGAGUAGAAACAGUGAUAUUAUCAAUGCUCCAGGCAAAGUUUAAUUACAAAUUUUCCUGCAUUUGGACAACAGAAAGUGCUUGUAGUGGGACCAGAAGACUUGACUUGAGUCCUGAAAUUGUUACUUUAUAACCAUGUGGCCUCGAAGCCAAAGCCUCAGAACUUCAGUUUUUUAAAAACUAUGAAAUUAGUUCAAUAGCACUAUAGGAUCUUUAUAUCUCACAAGAUUUCUCUGCUAUCCAAGUUAAACACUUGAUGGACGAUGGGUGCCUAUGCUAUAAAGUACUACACAGGCACUAAGUCCGUAAGAAAUCACUAAAGCUGGCUAUAUGUGCGUAGCUGGCUUCACAUGAACCACAUUUCAAAUCUUUUGCCGUCAAGUAGACCCAGCCAACCUCUGGAGUAAUAAUUCAUGUUUCAUACAAUUUAGAGUGCAUAGAAAGACAACUGUUUCUAAAGACUCCAAUAGACACACUUGGAUUCUCAUGGUUUCCCUGAGUUUGUGAAGUUAUUACUAUUACUGCUAUUUUUUCGGGUGGUUUUCAAAGCCUCUGACAUUCCUGAUUCUAUAAACAAGCUAUGGUUAGAGACAUAGCGAAAUUACCUUAUGUUUAGAUAGGUGUAAGAUAUGGCAGCAAGAGAACCCACUUUGAGAAACACCGAUGUAUGCCUCACUGUUACAGUUAUGCCUGGACCUGUAACAGUAGGUCGCUUCCGCAGUUGCUGUAGCAGUGCCAGGAGACACGAUGCUUUGGGGAAAGGGGACUCCCAUCUGGCAGGGUGAAGUUGCCUCAGGCUGGCCCAGUGAGCAGCAGGAAGAGGGAAGUACUGAGUGAAGAAGAGACACACAGGGAGAAGAUGGUCAUGUGCAGAUGGAGACAGAUUGCAGUGACAGUGUCAUAAGCUCGGAAACACCUGGGGUUACCAGAAACUGGAAGAGGCCAGGGGAAUUCUCCUCUAGAGGCUUAGAGGGAACACAGCCCUGCCAACUCCUUGCUUCUGGAUUUCUAGCCUUCAGGACUGUGAAAGAAGACGUUUCUGUUGUUUUGAGCCACCUGCUUUGUAUAAUUUGUUACACUAGCCCUAGAGAAUUAAUACAAUCAUCAUCCUCAUGUC